rnacentral:rRNA from 1 species
CACGUAGGGCGCAAGCGUUGUCCGGAAUUAUUGGGCGUAAAGAGCUCGUAGGCGGUCCGUCACGUCCGCUGUGAAAACCCAGGGCUCAACCCUGGGCUUGCAGUGGAUACGGGCAGACUAGAGGUAGGUAGGGGAGAAUGGAAUUCCCGGUGUAGCGGUGAAAUGCGCAGAUAUCGGGAGGAACACCGGUGGCGAAGGCGGUUCUCUGGGCCUUACCUGACGCUGAGGAGCGAAGCG